rfam:Oryza meridionalis cultivar OR44 (W2112) chromosome 1, whole genome shotgun sequence.
NNNNNNUGCACUGUUCAUAUCUAACGCUUGACCGUUCGUCUUAUUUGAAAAAAAUUAUAAUUAGUAUUUUUAUUGUUAUUGGAUGAUAAAACAUGAACAAUACCUUAUGUGAGACUAUUUUUUUAAAAAUAUAAAAUUUUUAAAUAAGACUAACGGUCAAACGUUAGACACAAAUACCCACGACUGUAUUUAUU